GUGACUGCCUGGGCAACACACGUGCUUAAAUUGGAUGGUACAGAGAUUAGCAAGGCUGCUGUGCAAGGAUGGCACACAAAUUUGUGAAGCAUUCCAUAUUAUU